rnacentral:lncRNA from 1 species
GUGAUCGUCGACUCAGCUGACCCUGCGGGACCGGAAAAAGAAAUUCCCGGGCCCUGGCUUCUUGGCGCGAUGAGGUUCCGGUUCUGUGGUGAUCUGGACUGUCCCGACUGGGUCCUGGCAGAAAUCAGCACGCUGGCCAAGAUGGUUGAGUGCACAGGGUCUAGUCUGGGUGGAGGAGGGGUGUUGGGGGUGGGGAUUGUGGGUGUAGAGGAUGGUGAGGUUUCUCUGGGGCUAGGGCCUCAGUGCUCUCAGCCUGUGCUACCAUGCUUUGUGACCUUGAUCAGUGGCUGGCCUGCUCUGAGCCAGUCCCCAGGAAGGAGGGGUGAGGUUUGCCAGCCUGGCUGAUGUAAGGACUUCCCUUCCAGUCCUCUGUGAAGUUGCGGCUGCUCUGCAGCCAGGUACUAAAGGAGCUGCUGGGACAGGGGAUUGAUGUGAGUACAAGAUCCAGCACCCCAUUGUCCCAUGACCUUAUGACCACCACUGCCCUGAAACUCUGCACUAGGCCCAGGGAGACGGGUGAGCCAGCCUCUCAACCUCUCUGGGCACCUCCCUUCCUUCUUUCCAGCCUGUCUGUUCCUUAUCGCAGGAUCCAGGCUGGGGGUGAGGGGCUGGUGAGCAGGGGCCUGGCACCCCCUGAAGGUCUCCUUUCCCCAUAGUAUGAGAAGAUCCUGAAGCUCACGGCUGACGCCAAGUUUGGUGAGUAUCCCGCUGAGUCUAUAGGCCCCAGGCAACCCUGGGAACUUGGCCUGGUGCCUGGUACAGAGGGGCCCCCCACCCCUCCCAGCAGCAUCCUUAACUUACCUUCCCUAGUGGAGGAGCAUGAGGGAAAGAAAGACCGACAGUCCCACCUUCCUGUCCUCUGCCAGCUCCUGGUGGAGCAGUAGCAGUGCCUGUGGCUCCAGGAGGCCUGGGGGCUUUGAGCUAAAGUUAAUAGGGCAACAGGGAGGUGGCUGGACCCACAGUGACACCCCCUGCCCCACCCACGGGUCCCUCAGAGUCAGGCGAUGUGAAGGCCACAGUGGCAGUGCUGAGUUUCAUCCUCUCCAGUGCGGCCAAGCACAGUGUCGAUGGCGAAUCCUUGUCCAGUGAACUGCAGCAGCUGGGGCUGCCCAAAGGUACGGGUUGUGGGUGGGCAGCUGGGCAGCCUGUGGGCCAAGGGCUGCUAGAGAAGGGGACAGGCCCUGUGACCCUGAGGUGUACCUGCCCUGUCUGGGCCAGGAGCCCAAGCCAGGCCCCGACAUGCUACCUCCAGAGCUACUCCAUUCUACCCCCAGAGCACGCGGCCAGCCUGUGCCGCUGUUAUGAGGAGAAGCAAAGCCCCUUGCAGAAGCACUUGCGGGUCUGCAGCCUACGCAGUAAGUAUGAGGCCAGCCAGGGUCCGGGCUCAUUCUAGAAGGUGCACGCAGCACACAAAGUGCAUGGAGAGUCCAGGGAGACGACUUAACCACGGUCACAUGGUUACUAGCAGCCGUAGAGCUGGGACCUGGCCCUGGGUCUCCUGACUCCCCACAAGGUUUCUUGUCACUGAGGUCUGCUGUGGGUGAUCAGAACUGAUUAUCGGGCACCUGCCCUGUUCUGAGCCUGGGUCAGCAGGAUGGGAGCUUCUUAGAGGCCACAUAGCCUUGAAUGGUUGAGAGCUGAGCCAGGGUGUCGGCUGAGGUCUACUUGGCUUGCCUGCUUUGAUCCUGAGAGCCACCCACCCCAUCUCACAGUGAAUAGGUUGGCAGGUGUGGGCUGGCGGGUGGACUACACCCUGAGCUCCAGCCUGCUGCAAUCCGUGGAAGAGCCCAUGGUGCACCUGCGGCUGGAGGUGGCAGCUGCCCCAGGGACCCCAGCCCAGCCUGUUGCCAUGUCCCUCUCAGCAGACAAGUUCCAGGUCCUCCUGGCAGGUGAGGCUCAGCUAUUCCUCGACGGGUGAGAGGCUCUCCCAGAUCCGCCUGACUGCCUCCCACCUGCCCACCUCUUCCCUCUGCAGAACUGAAGCAGGCCCAGACCCUGAUGAGCUCCCUGGGCUGAGGAGAAGGGUGUUCCAGGCCUGUGUGGAGCCGCCCUGCCCGUAUGGAGUCACGCCCUCUGAACUGCUCUUCGGGAGGCAGCCCUGGUUCUAGGAUGCUGAGGCCCUGGCCCGGACUCUGGCCUCCCAGAUCCCCAGCUGCCUCACUUCUCUCUUGAGAACUUGGCUCAGGGCUCCUGAGGACCUUUCCCAGCAUUACCUUCCCUUCCCUUGAAAGGCAAUUGUUGGCUGUUUUCAUAAGCAGGAAAAAUAAACAGAAGUAUAAAGGAA